rnacentral:sRNA from 1 species
UAUUCUGCCCCACGGGGAAGGAUGAGAAGCUUCGACUAAGGUUCGACUCGAGCGAAGCGAGAGAACGUUGCCGCAGGCAAUGGCCCGAAGGCGAGGCGCUUUAGCGCCGAGUAAUCCCUCCCCACCACUG